rnacentral:rRNA from 1 species
AUACGUAGGGUGCAAGCGUUAAUCGGAAUUACUGGGCGUAAAGCGUGCGCAGGCGGUUUUGUAAGACAGUGGUGAAAUCCCCGGGCUCAACCUGGGAACUGCCAUUGUGACUGCAAGGCUGGAGUGCGGCAGAGGGGGAUGGAAUUCCGCGUGUAGCAGUGAAAUGCGUAGAUAUGCGGAGGAACACCGAUGGCGAAGGCAAUCCCCUGGGCCUGCACUGACGCUCAUGCACGAAAGCGUGGGGAGCAAACAGAAUUAGAUACCCUGGUAGUCCACGCCCUAAACGAUGUCAACUGGUUGUUGGGGAUUUAUUUUCUCAGUAACGAAGCUAACGCGUGAAGUUGACCGCCUGGGGAGUACGGCCGCAAGGUUAAAACUCAAAUGAAUUGACGGGG